AAAUGAAUUGACGGGAGCCCGCACAAGCAGUGGAGUAUGUGGUUUAAUUCGACGCAACGCGAAGAACCUUACCAGAGCUUGACAUCCAAGGAAGGCGGCGUAAUGGCCGCUGUGCCCUUCGGGGAGCCUUGAGACAGGUGGUGCAUGGUUGUCGUCAGCUCGUGUCGUGAGAUGUUGGGUUAAGUCCCGCAACGAGCGCAACCCUUAUUGUUAGUUGCUACGGAAGAGCACUCUAACGAGACUGCCGUUGACAAAACGGAGGAAGGUGGGGACGACGUCAAAUCAUCAUGCCCCUUACGCCCUGGGCUACACACGUACUACAAUGGCGCAAAACAACGGGGAGCGAAGGCGCGAGCCGGAGCAAAUCCUAAAAAGGCGUCCCAGUUCAGACUGCAGGCUGCAACUCGCCUGCACGAAGUCGGAAUUGCUAGUAAUCGCGGAUCAGAAUGCCGCGGUGAAUACGUUCCCGGGCUUUGUACACACCGCCCGU
rnacentral:rRNA from 1 species